UACGGAGGGGGCUAGCGUUGUUCGGAAUUACUGGGCGUAAAGCGCGCGUAGGCGGCUUUGUAAGUUAGAGGUGAAAGCCCGGAGCUCAACUCCGGAACUGCCUUUAAGACUGCAUCGCUAGAAUUGUGGAGAGGUAAGUGGAAUUCCGAGUGUAGAGGUGAAAUUCGUAGAUAUUCGGAAGAACACCAGUGGCGAAGGCGACUUACUGGACACAUAUUGACGCUGAGGUGCGAAAGCGU
rnacentral:rRNA from 1 species